ensembl:snRNA U7 U7 small nuclear RNA
GAGUGCUUAUAGCUUUUUGAAUUUGUCUAGUAGGUCUUCUGGUCUUUACUGGAAGCCACCACC